GGGUUGUGAGGUUAAGCGACUAAGCGUACACGGUGGAUGCCCUGGCAGUCAGAGGCGAUGAAGGGCGUGCUAAUCUGCGAUAAGCGCCGGUAAGGUGAUAUGAACCGUUAUAACCGGCGAUACCCGAAUGGGGAAACCCAGUGUGACUCGUCACACUAUCAUUAACUGAAUCCAUAGGUUAAUGAGGCGAACCGGGGGAACUGAAACAUCUAAGUACCCCGAGGAAAAGAAAUCAACCGAGAUUCCCCCAGUAGCGGCGAGCGAACGGGGAGGAGCCCAGAGCCUGAAUCAGCAUGUGUGUUAGUGGAAGCGUCUGGAAAGGCGCGCGAUACAGGGUGACAGCCCCGUACACAAAAGCGCAUGUGCUGUGAGCUCGAUGAGUAGGGCGGGACACGUGGUAUCCUGUCUGAAUAUGGGGGGACCAUCCUCCAAGGCUAAAUACUCCUGACUGACCGAUAGUGAACCAGUACCGUGAGGGAAAGGCGAAAAGAACCCCGGCGAGGGGAGUGAAAAAGAACCUGAAACCGUGUACGUACAAGCAGUGGGAGCACAGGUUUACCUGUGUGACUGCGUACCUUUUGUAUAAUGGGUCAGCGACUUAUAUUCUGUAGCAAGGUUAACCGAAUAGGGGAGCCGGAGGGAAACCGAGUCUUAACUGGGCGUUAAGUUGCAGGGUAUAGACCCGAAACCCGGUGAUCUAGCCAUGGGCAGGUUGAAGGUUGGGUAACACUAACUGGAGGACCGAACCGACUAAUGUUGAAAAAUUAGCGGAUGACCUGUGGCUGGGGGUGAAAGGCCAAUCAAACCGGGAGAUAGCUGGUUCUCCCCGAAAGCUAUUUAGGUAGCGCCUCGUGAACUCAUCUCCGGGGGUAGAGCACUGUUUCGGCUAGGGGGCCAUCCCGGCUUACCAACCCGAUGCAAACUGCGAAUACCGGAGAAUGUUAUCACGGGAGACACACGGCGGGUGCUAACGUCCGUCGUGAAGAGGGAAACAACCCAGACCGCCAGCUAAGGUCCCAAAGUCAUGGUUAAGUGGGAAACGAUGUGGGAAGGCCCAGACAGCCAGGAUGUUGGCUUAGAAGCAGCCAUCAUUUAAAGAAAGCGUAAUAGCUCACUGGUCGAGUCGGCCUGCGCGGAAGAUGUAACGGGGCUAAACCAUGCACCGAAGCUGCGGCAGCGACACUGUGUGUUGUUGGGUAGGGGAGCGUUCUGUAAGCCUGCGAAGGUGGCCUGUGAGGGUUGCUGGAGGUAUCAGAAGUGCGAAUGCUGACAUAAGUAACGAUAAAGCGGGUGAAAAGCCCGCUCGCCGGAAGACCAAGGGUUCCUGUCCAACGUUAAUCGGGGCAGGGUGAGUCGACCCCUAAGGCGAGGCCGAAAGGCGUAGUCGAUGGGAAACGGGUUAAUAUUCCCGUACUUGGUGUUACUGCGAAGGGGGGACGGAGAAGGCUAUGUUGGCCGGGCGACGGUUGUCCCGGUUUAAGCGUGUAGGUGUGUGUUCCAGGUAAAUCCGGUUCACUUUAACACUGAGGCGUGACGACGAGGCACUACGGUGCUGAAGCAACAAAUGCCCUGCUUCCAGGAAAAGCCUCUAAGCAUCAGGUAACAUCAAAUCGUACCCCAAACCGACACAGGUGGUCAGGUAGAGAAUACCAAGGCGCUUGAGAGAACUCGGGUGAAGGAACUAGGCAAAAUGGUGCCGUAACUUCGGGAGAAGACACGCUGACACGUAGGUGAAGUGAUUUACUCAUGGAGCUGAAGUCAGUCGAAGAUACCAGCUGGCUGCAACUGUUUAUUAAAAACACAGCACUGUGCAAACACGAAAGUGGACGUAUACGGUGUGACGCCUGCCCGGUGCCGGAAGGUUAAUUGAUGGGGUCAGCGCAAGCGAAGCUCCUGAUCGAAGCCCCGGUAAACGGCGGCCGUAACUAUAACGGUCCUAAGGUAGCGAAAUUCCUUGUCGGGUAAGUUCCGACCUGCACGAAUGGCGUAAUGAUGGCCAGGCUGUCUCCACCCGAGACUCAGUGAAAUUGAACUCGCUGUGAAGAUGCAGUGUACCCGCGGCAAGACGGAAAGACCCCGUGAACCUUUACUAUAGCUUGACACUGAACAUUGAGCCUUGAUGUGUAGGAUAGGUGGGAGGCUUUGAAGUGUGGACGCCAGUCUGCAUGGAGCCGACCUUGAAAUACCACCCUUUAAUGUUUGAUGUUCUAACGUGGACCCGUUACCCGGGUUGCGGACAGUGUCUGGUGGGUAGUUUGACUGGGGCGGUCUCCUCCUAAAGAGUAACGGAGGAGCACGAAGGUUGGCUAAUCCUGGUCGGACAUCAGGAGGUUAGUGCAAUGGCAUAAGCCAGCUUGACUGCGAGCGUGACGGCGCGAGCAGGUGCGAAAGCAGGUCAUAGUGAUCCGGUGGUUCUGAAUGGAAGGGCCAUCGCUCAACGGAUAAAAGGUACUCCGGGGAUAACAGGCUGAUACCGCCCAAGAGUUCAUAUCGACGGCGGUGUUUGGCACCUCGAUGUCGGCUCAUCACAUCCUGGGGCUGAAGUAGGUCCCAAGGGUAUGGCUGUUCGCCAUUUAAAGUGGUACGCGAGCUGGGUUUAGAACGUCGUGAGACAGUUCGGUCCCUAUCUGCCGUGGGCGCUGGAGAACUGAGGGGGGCUGCUCCUAGUACGAGAGGACCGGAGUGGACGCAUCACUGGUGUUCGGGUUGUCAUGCCAAUGGCACUGCCCGGUAGCUAAAUGCGGAAGAGAUAAGUGCUGAAAGCAUCUAAGCACGAAACUUGCCCCGAGAUGAGUUCUCCCUGAGACUUAGAGUCUCCUGAAGGAACGUUGAAGACGACGACGUUGAUAGGCCGGGUGUGUAAGCGCAGCGAUGCGUUGAGCUAACCGGUACUAAUGAACCGUGAGGCUUAACCUUACAACGCCGAAG
rnacentral:rRNA from 2 species